GUUGACCUCGGAUCAGGUAGGAAUACCCGCUGAACUUAAGCAUAUCA
rnacentral:rRNA from 67 species